rnacentral:rRNA from 1 species
UUUGAUGGCGACCGGCGCACGGGUGAGUAACACGUAUCCAACCUGCCGAUGACUCGGGGAUAGCCUUUCGAAAGAAAGAUUAAUACCCGAUGGCAUAGUUCUUCCGCAUGGUGGAACUAUUAAAGAAUUUCGGUCAUCGAUGGGGAUGCGUUCCAUUAGGUUGUUGGCGGGGUAACGGCCCACCAAGCCUUCGAUGGAUAGGGGUUCUGAGAGGAAGGUCCCCCACAUGGAACUGAGACACGGUCCAAACUCCUACGGGAGGCAGCAUG